rnacentral:rRNA from 1 species
GAUCAUGGCUCAGGAUGAACGCUAGCGGCAGGCUUUAACACAUGCAAGUCGAGGGGCAGCAUGAAGGUUAGCAAUAACCUUUGAUGGCGACCGGCGCAAGGGUGCGUAACGCGUGAGCAACUUGCCCGUUUCAGGGGGGAUAACCGGUGGAAACGCCGACUAAUACCCCCAUAGCAUUGGUUUGAGGCAUCUCUUACCAAUUAAAGAAUUUCGGAAACGGAUAGGCUCGCGUGACAUUAGCUAGAUGGCGGGGUAACGGCCCACCAUGGCUACGAUGUCUAGGGGUUCUGAGAGGAAGGUCCCCCACACUGGAACUGAGACACGGUCCAGACUCCUACGGGAGGCAGCAGUGAGGAAUAUUGGUCAAUGGUCUGACGACUGAACCAGCCAUGCCGCGUGAAGGUCACGGCCCUAUGGGUCUUAAACUUCUUUUGUAAGGGAGCAAUAAGCUUUACGUGUAGAGUGAUGAGAGUACCUUACGAAUAAGCAUCGGCUAACUCCGUG